AUAUGCUUACCGCGUGUAUCGAUACAUUGUUCUCAAUCACCUCUAACACGGAAAUCCCGGUCGAAAUCCGUCUGAGCCACCCACAACGAGGACGUCAAGUAUUUCGAAAACUCAAUUGACAGCCGAAGGAAGGAAGAGCAGCUUGCGGAUGCCAGCAUGUUCAGGGUUUGUGGGGAGGUUCACAGACAUCCUCAGGGAGGAUACAAAGUAUUGAAAUGUCCGGAUGAAUAAAAGAGAUGGUCAUCUGUGCAGCAUCAAUGCAAAGAAAGACCAUAGAAGAGAAGCAAUGAGGAACAAGAGAAGAGCAACAAAACUGAAGUCCUGCUUGAGAUCCCUGGAUGAGUACUCCAUGUUGACAGUCUGGAAGGACCAGACAAGGGAGCCCUUAACAGAGAGUGCACCCCUUCAGAUAUCAGAGAUGAUUUGCAGACAGCGAUGACGAGGGUCCUGUUAUUUCAAUGGAGGCCGACCAAGAAGUUGUAUGCCAAAUGGUACUGGGACACACAAAGGCUUGUCUGGCUAAUGUGAGAAGACCAAUCAAUGCCAAGCUGGAGUGGGAUCC